rnacentral:misc_RNA from 1 species
GAAAUGCGAUACGUAAUGUGAAUUGCAGACCGUGAAUCAUCUAAUCUUUGAACGCAUCUUGCGCUCCCUGGUAUUCCGGGGAGCAUGCCUGUUUGAGAAUCGAUAAACCUACUAGACCCAGUACUAUUGACUGAUUCAGUCGACUGCACUUUGUCUGACUUGGGCAUUGAAACUUGUUUCUCGCCUGGAAGAAAGCGUUGACUGUAGGCCUAAUGUAUGCUUCAUCACUGUGUUUACUUGGUCUUGACCAUUCUUAUGCAGGGCUGAAUUAUGCGCUUUAAUUAGACUGAAGGGCAACUUUUAUAACGAUUCAAACUUGAUUCGACCAUACACUUUACCGUGUCUACUUGGUCUCAAAUCAGGCAAGAGUACCCGCUGAACUUAA